GGCAGCAAAACGUUACCAGCCAACAACCAAAUGAAGGCGUUCCCUUUAAUGCUCAGGGUCAUCGAGAUCCCUUUAAAAAAUAUUGGAAACACGACCCCAAACGUCAUCUCUAAGCACAGCUCCGUUAGUCUCUAGUAGCAUUUCUCUGGACACAAAUGGGACCAUUUAGCAGACUCGAGCUAGAAACACCUGCAACACGUAAUGCGACACACUGAUUAGUCUCACUCGCGUUCAGACUCGAUUGUUAGAUCAGUCGAGUCAGUGUAAAAGAGACCUCGAGUGACUUACAGGCGAGAGGAUGGAGCAUCGAGCUCAGAGUGAGAGCUCCAACACAUGAACUGCAGUAACACACAUUUCUUCUGUAUCUGUGGAGACAGACUUUAAAACGGUGACGUUUGUGUUGCACACACCUGUUCACCUCGUUCCAGCUAACGUCCACUCGUGUCUUUGUACUUCAGGCUGUUCUGAACCAAAAGUUCACCGACUGCUUCGUUCUGGUAUUUCUGGACAACCAAGCUGGAAAAACUAGUUUAAAGGUCGUGUUUCGGGAGCCGCUGCCGUUGCAGCCGCAGGCCGGCAGCAGCCCCCCUCCUCAGCUGGUGUCCAUGUAUCAUCACCUGGAGUCUGUAAUUAACACCGCGUGCUACAAUCUGUGGACUGGACUGCUAUAGCACCCGGACCCGAGUCGUGUCUUUAACACGAGACAAAUGGAAAUGAGAAGAGAAGCUUUCUGCAUAACGCUGAGCUCACUGAGUGGGAGCAGCGACAUACUGGACUCAUGUGCAAGAAACAGUUUUAAAUGUUGAGGAUCAUAAAGUUGAGCAGACACUACGAUGGGUUCCCUCGCAGUUACUGUACGAGCCUUCAAACAGCACCGUGACCACGCCACAGCAAAAGCACCUUCCUUACCACUAUUGUCAAGAGUCAGACGGGCGAUCAACAUCCAGAUAAAGAGAACUGCAGGCUGUAUGCACUUAUGGGUUGGGACAGUCCCUUUAAAUCACAACGUACAAAAUCCUGUUUAAAAAGUGAUGUUUUAGAUCUUUGUAGCAGGUGAGACAUGUCAGCAAAUAUCUCACAUCCUGGAACAGAUUCAAAAAGGGGCUGAGGAUGAAGAUUUGGCCAAAGCAGCAUCACUGGCUCCUGGUUCCUCGAGGAACUUGAGGUCAUUUGCAGUGUUUGAUAAUUUAAUAUGUAGCAUAUAUCAAACUGAGUCCUACUCAGUCCAAAUACUUGGGGCGGUCUGAGCUGAGUAGGUGAGAUGAUCUGCAGCUUUUCAGGGCUCAUAUCUUUAACCUUUAACCUCCACCAACGUCGUGCCAAAUCCAGAACCAGUUUCACGUAUUUCCACCUCCCUAAAAAUGUACUGGUACUAGUAAGCAUGGCACCACAAACUGAUGAUGCCUUGCUGCCUCCAGUUCUUCCAGGAAGUGAGGAUAAUGAGACGUUCCCGAACAGCUCAGCUGUGUCCCGGGUCUGCAACGGGGUCUCCUCCUGGUUGGACGUGCCCAGAAAACAUCACCGAAGAGGAGACGACCUGAACCUCGUCAUCACAGACGCAAGAGCUCUGCUGCUUUGAUGGGAUGCUUUUGGUCACCAACCAAAGCUGGUGUCAUAGCUGAGAGUAAGGACAUACCUUCACCACCACAAGCUGCUGCAGCUCCAUCUGUCAAUCUGGAAACAACUCGGAGCAUUCGGUGCUCAAAGGCACAAAGGUAGAACGGGUGGACGACCUGGAAGGUGCUCUUUAACACAUUCUGAUGGAUAUGACACGGCGAGGACGCCGUCGAUGUACGGACAGAAACAUCGUGAGCGUGCAGCGGCUGUUUGACAUCAUUGAGCCUGAGUCAGUGGUCAGAAGGCAGCACUUACAUGCAUUCUGCACAAAUUUGAAGCUCCACAUCUUCACUAAUGUCUCAGCGUCGGUUUGGAUCUCGUGCCUUCUGACAGUAUUUAGCUUCACGCCACAUCAGUGUUAAAACAAGAAGAGACAGCCCAGAUGCCGGUGCGCAGAGUGGGAAGGCUUUUAUGUUCAAAUGCGUCAAACCUGUUUCCACUUGAACCCCACUGCCAUGUCUGUUGCCCUCAAGUGCCUUUCUCUGUUUAUUAUUUUCUCCCUUUUUUCAUUCCCAAACCUGUGAAGUGACGCCGUUGUCGCUCUGGCAGGAGAUGUGUGGAAACACACUGCUGGUGUUAUGCAGCGAAAGUGCCUGAGUCAGUUUGGAGAAAUGUGACAAAAAUUGCCUUUCAUAAGCAGGAAAAUUGGUCAUAUUAACUUUGGUGAUUUGCAUAAUAACAUGCCACAUGUCAUCAGCGCCGAGUGUUUCCAAAGCAUGUUGGGGUGGUGGUGUGUACUCUCACACAGUGUGGCUGGUAGUCAUACCUCAGCCUGGCACAGGACUGUUACAUCACAACAGGAAGGCUCCGUGUCCAGUGUGGCUCCUGUAGGAGUCGCACCCGUUCUGGGAGGGAACCAAACAGGUCUGAGCUUCACCAACUGAAGAGGACUGAAUGUUAAACACUGGAUUAUUCAUCAUGCAAAAUGUGAACUGUAAGCAGACAGCCCUGUAAAAUAAAACCUGCACUACCUGUGUCGUGUAUAUUGUGUAUAUACAGAACACUUUAUACAGUAUGUAAAGUUAAAUAAACAAGUUACAGAGUAAGAGUGUGCUGAA
ensembl:lncRNA